CGUAGGUAAUCUAUCCUUACAUUUGGGAUAACAUCGGGAAACUGGUGCUAAUACCGAAUGGUCUUCAUUGCUUUGGGGCGAUGGAGUAAAGGUGGCCUCUUCAUGAAAGCUACCGUGUAGGGAUGAGCCUGCGCACCAUUAGCUAGUAGGUGGGGUAAUGGCCCACCUAGGCUACGAUGGUUAGCGGGUCUGAGAGGAUGAUCCGCCACACUGGAACUGAAACACGGACCAG
rnacentral:rRNA from 1 species